rnacentral:rRNA from 1 species
UACGGAGGGGGCUAGCGUUGUUCGGAAUUACUGGGCGUAAAGCGCACGUAGGCGGCUUUGUAAGUUAGAGGUGAAAGCCCGGGGCUCAACUCCGGAAUUGCCUUUAAGACUGCAUCGCUAGAAUUGUGGAGAGGUAAGUGGAAUUCCGAGUGUAGAGGUGAAAUUCGUAGAUAUUCGGAAGAACACCAGUGGCGAAGGCGACUUACUGGACACAUAUUGACGCUGAGGUGCGAAAGCGUGGGGAACAAACAGG